rnacentral:tRNA from 1 species
UAGUUAAGAAGCUUUACGUUAAGCAUAUGUUUUGAAAACAUAAGAAAGAAGUUUAAUUCUUCUAUUAACUUA